rnacentral:piRNA from 1 species
UGGCCAGGAAGCAGAACGAGAUAUUUUC